CAGAGAAUAGUUUUAUAAAAAUAUUAAUUUUGGAGAUUAGUGAUGUAAGUUAAACUUGCUUCUCUGA
rnacentral:tRNA from 1 species